rnacentral:rRNA from 1 species
GGCCUAACACAUGCAAGUCGAGCGGUAGAGAGAAGCUUGCUUCUCUUGAGAGCGGCGGACGGGUGAGUAAUGCCUAGGAAUCUGCCUGGUAGUGGGGGAUAACGUUCGGAAACGGACGCUAAUACCGCAUACGUCCUACGGGAGAAAGCAGGGGACCUUCGGGCCUUGCGCUAUCAGAUGAGCCUAGGUCGGAUUAGCUAGUUGGUGAGGUAAUGGCUCACCAAGGCGACGAUCCGUAACUGGUCUGAGAGGAUGAUCAGUCACACUGGAACUGAGACACGGUCCAGACUCCUACGGGAGGCAGCAGUGGGGAAUAUUGGACAAUGGGCGAAAGCCUGAUCCAGCCAUGCCGCGUGUGUGAAGAAGGUCUUCGGAUUGUAAAGCACUUUAAGUUGGGAGGAAGGGUACUUACCUAAUACGUGAGUAUUUUGACGUUACCGACAGAAUAAGCACCGGCUAACUCUGUGCCAGCAGCC